rnacentral:misc_RNA from 1 species
AACGCACCUUGCGCCCCUUGGUAUUCCGAGGGGCACACCCGUUUGAGUGUCGUGAAAAUCUCAACCUUCUCGGUUUCUUCUGGACACCGAAGGAGGCUUGGACUUUGGAGGCCUUUGCUGGCGUCUCUCUCUUGAGAGAGCCAGCUCCUCUUAAAUGAAUUAGCGGGGUCCUCUUUGCUGGUCCUCGACAUGUGAUAAGAUGUUUCCAUGUCUUGGUUUCUGGCUCUGUUGCUUUUGGGACCCGCUUCUAACCGUCUCAACGAGACAACGUUUGAGCGCGUCUCCCUUCUCGGGAGACCCUCUCAACCUCACGAACCCUUGACCUCAAAUCGGGUGAGACUACCCGCUGAACUUAA